rnacentral:rRNA from 1 species
CACUCCUACGGGAGGCAGCAGUGGGGAAUUUUGGACAACGGGCGAAAGCCUGAUCCAGCCAUGCCGCGUGCAGGAUGAAGGCCUUCGGGUUGUAAACUGCUUUUGUACGGAACGAAACGGCCUUUUCUAAUAAAGAGGGCUAAUGACGGUACCGUAAGAAUAAGCACCGGCUAACUACGUGCCAGCAGCCGCGGUAAUACGUAGGGUGCAAGCGUUAAUCGGAAUUACUGGGCGUAAAGCGUGCGCAGGCGGUUAUGUAAGACAGUUGUGAAAUCCCCGGGCUCAACCUGGGAACUGCAUCUGUGACUGCAUAGCUAGAGUACGGUAGAGGGGGAUGGAAUUCCGCGUGUAGCAGUGAAAUGCGUAGAUAUGCGGAGGAACACCGAUGGCGAAGGCAAUCCCCUGGACCUGUACUGACGCUCAUGCACGAAAGCGUGGGGAGCAAACAGGAUUAGAAACCCCAGUAGUCCCAUG